rnacentral:rRNA from 1 species
GUGACUGCGUACCUUUUGUAUAAUGGGUCAGCGACUUAUAUUUGGUAGCGAGGUUAAGCGAAUAGCGGAGCCGUAGCGAAAGCGAGUGUUAACUGCGCGAAUUAGUUGCCAGGUAUAGACCCGAAACCCGGUGAUCUAGCCAUGGGCAGGUUGAAGGUUGAGUAACAUCAACUGGAGGACCGAACCCACUAACGUUGAAAAGUUAGGGGAUGACUUGUGGCUGGGGGUGAAAGGCCAAUCAAACCGGGAGAUAGCUGGUUCUCCCCGAAAUCUAUUUAGGUAGAGCCUCGGACGAAUUCCAUUGGGGGUAGAGCACUGUUAAGGCUAGGGGGUCAUCCCGACUUACCAACCCUUUGCAAACUCCGAAUACCAAUGAGAACUAUCCGGGAGACACACGGCGGGUGCUAACGUCCGUCGUGAAGAGGGAAACAACCCAGACCGCCAGCUAAGGUCCCAAAAUAUUGCUAAGUGGGAAACGAUGUGGGAAGGCUCAGACAGCUAGGAGGUUGGCUUAGAAGCAGCCACCCUUUAAAGAAAGCGUAAUAGCUCACUAGUCGAGUCGGCCUGCGCGGAAGAUGUAACGGGGCUAAGCAAUAUACCGAAGCUGCGGCA